CAACUUCAGAGCGUCAGUUAUUUACUGUCCACUAAUUCUAUAUCCACUAUUAGUUCGAGUUGACUGUUGAUGCAGAUAAUUAAGAUGAGAUCGCUUUUAUGGAUGGUUUUAAUCGUACCGGUUUUGUCAAAUAAAUCGACAAAGAAGUCAACAUUUGGGUGUUUUAGUAAAUGUAAUAACAAUACGCAUGAAAUUGAUGUUAAAUGUGAGGACAGUUUCAAUUUGUGGGAAACCGACCAGUUAUGUACAUCCGCAUAUUAUAAUGAGACACAGUUUUUAAUGUCUAUAGUUUUUAGAAGAUCCGAUUUUGGUAACAUGGACAGCAUUGCGUGGAUAAACAGUGACAUUGAACGCAUUGUUUCACUCGAUUUAAGUAAUAACCGGUUUAAUAAUCAACCGACGUUGGAUUCUAUACC